rnacentral:rRNA from 1 species
AUUGAACGCUGGCGGCAGGCUUAACACAUGCAAGUCGAGCGAGUGGCGGACGGGUGAGUAAUGUCUGGGAAACUGCCCGAUGGCGGGGGAUAACUACUGGAAACGGUAGCUAAUACCGCAUACUAUUAGAUGUGCCCAGAUGGGAUUAGCUAGUCGGUGGGGUAAAGGCUCACCUAGGCGACGAUCCCUAGCUGGUCUGAGAGGAUGACCAGCCACACUGGAACUGAGACACGGUCCAGACUCCUACGGGAGGCAGCAGUGGGGAAUUUUGGACAAUGGGCGAAAGCCUGAUGCAGCCAUGCCGCGUGGGUGAAGAAGGCCUUCGGGUUGUAAAGUACUGUCAGCGGGGAGGCGGUACUCGCAGAAGAAGCACCGGCUAACUCCGUGCCAGCAGCCGCGGUAAUUC